GUUCAAUUCCACCAUCAGGUGGAACGUAAGGAGUUUGCAUGUUCUCCCUGUGCUUGUGUGGGUUCUCUCUGUGUAUUAUGGCUUCCUCCCACAGUCCAAAAACAUGCAUUUAGUGGGGAUAGGUUAAUUGGUAACUAUAAAUUGCCCAUAGGUCUGAAUGUGAGUGCAAAUGAUUGUCUGUGUCUAUGUGUUAGCCCUGCGACAGACUGGGAUAGGCUCCAGCCCGCCCACGACGCUGAAAAGGAUAAAAGGAAGAGAAUGGAUGGAUGGAUGGAUGGUUUAUGUAUUACGAUGCAGCUCACAUAUAUUACACCUGUCUUUACCCUUGGUCUAAAAAAAAUCCACGCAGCAAGCAGGUCCAGGAUUCAAAUCAUUUUUAAAAAGUUUGCAUCCUUGCCUUGGGUUUGAGUUGGUUCUUGUAGUCGUCCAGAAUCCUCCCUGAAUCCCAGCGCCACUGGAUUUGGUUAAUUGGUGGAUCUAAAUUGGCCAUAGAAUGUGAGUGUGAAUGGCUGUCUGUCUGUGUGUUAGCCAUAUAACAGGUUGGUAGCAUGAUAUAAACAUUUUACUUAUAUGUAUAUGCCAUAUAUGCCAUAUGUAAAUACAGCAAAGUAAAACAUCUCUUUGGCCUUUAAAUCAGGUUUAUAGCUUCUAUUAAAAUUCUGUGUGCAUACAUGACAUGUACUUUAUAUUUCACCAAUGCAUUUGUUGCCUAAAAGUCCAGAUGGCAACUUGAUGAGGUAAAGCAGCACUAUAUGGGACUGCAUUGAAACCACUUGAGUAGGUCAUAUGUGCGGUUCAAUAUGCGCGGUUGCAAUCCUCUUAGGCUCAGGUCCAAGUUGACAUACAUCUGGAGCAAUCUAAUGAAAUGUGUUUCGUCUUUAAUGCUCUCAUUGUAAAAUGAAGGAAGGAUGACUUUGCACUAGCAUCCAUACUAACUUAAGGAUUAACAGAUCCCUUAAUUUGGAGCAAGAAGUAGGAAAUGAAAGCCACUGUCUACAGGACGAAAGAGACUGAAACUAAAAUGACUGCAACCGUGCAGGCAAAUAAUUCAGUUCAAUGUAACUGCCAGCUCUGAUUUCUUGGCUUUUAAUCAGAGGUCAGACAUCUGGCCUCGAGGCUUUCAUGUAAUUACUCUGCUUAUCUAAAAUGGACAAUAGCAUCAAAUCUAUAAAUUUGAUCAAAUCCACAGUGAUUAACUAAAC
rnacentral:lncRNA from 1 species